GGAAUGUUUAAAGAAUAGUCGUCUCAAAAGAAAUCUUACACCACACACUGUGAUAGCAAGUGUUGUUUUUUAUUUUUUUCUUUUAAUUUGUAAAAGAUAUCUUAGAUUAACAACAGCAUAGCAACUGUCAUUUUCUUUUUGCAUAAGUUCUUUAUGUUGAAAUUUUUGAUCAAGGCCUAAUGGCAACCCCAGUUAAUACCUGUCAAAGCAUGGCUACCCUGCUCGGGGUCAUUAAUUUUCUUUGACCUAUUCGCUAUAGUAUUUAGGAUCAGUUCGAUUCCCAAGAUUUUAUAUAUAUAUUUUUUUAUGUUUAUUGCUUGAGUAU
rnacentral:misc_RNA from 1 species